UGCGUAGGCGGGCUGCCAAGUUGGGUGAAAUCCUCCGGCUCAACCCGGGGAAGUGCCUUGAAUACUGGCGGUCUGGAGGGAGGUAGGGGCGUGCGGAACUGUAGGUGGAGCGGUGAAAUGCGUUGAUAUCUACAGGAACUCCGGUGGCGAAGGCGGCACGCUGGACCUUUUCUGACGCUGAGGCACGAAAGCCAGGGGAGCGAAG
rnacentral:rRNA from 1 species